AGAAAUCCUCCAGCCCUGUUAGAAAUGCCUCAGCCAGGGGGACUCAUCUCCUCAAACCUGGGGGACCGAGACCUAUGAGAGGUCACAGCAUGAGCCAGGACAUCGGAGGUACCCAGACAUUGUUAUGAAACUCCGCAUGUGCCCCUGGUGGACGCUGCUGGACCCAGCAUGCACACUUCUCGGCUAAGAGUCACCCUGGAUGAACCACCAUUGCCAGCGGGGAGCAUGUUGCAGCUUUCCCACGCAGUGGAUGAGAACGAAGGUUACGACCAUUGUGUGGGAGGCGUCUGUGUAGCAAUUGCUGGAAUCACUUGUGGCAUUGUAGAAAGACUGAGCGUGGGAAAGAAGACGCAUUCUGAAGUCACCCCGAUUUAUGUUAAAUUAUCACCUUGACUACUGCUAUAGAACGAAUGUUUAUGUCCCCCACCCAAAUUCGUAUGCUAAGACCUAAUAGCCAAUAAGAUAGUAUUAAUAGAUGGGGCCUUUGGGAGGUGAGUGGCUCAUGAGGGCAGAGUCCUCAAAACCAGAUAAGUGCCCGAAUAAAAGGGGCCCCAGAGAGAUCCCUUGCACCGUCUACCAUGUGAAGUGUAGAACACAGCGAGAAGGCCACCUAUGAGCCAGAACGUGGGCCCUCACCAGAACCCAGUUGUGCUGGCACCCUGAUCCUGGACUUCCAGCCUCCAAAAUGACGACAAAGAAGUUUGUUUUUCCUGAGCCAUCCACUUCAAAGUAUUCUGUCAUAGCUCCCCAAAUAGACUAAGACAUCUACUUAACCUUGGUCAAACGUUUAACCUUGGAGUCCACGCCUCUGAAAUGGUGAGGGCAUCGAGCCUCAGAGAAAUGAAACUUGCCCAAGACCACACAGCAAAGAGACGUAUUUUAAAGAAUUGGCUCGUGGGAUUGUGGGGCCUGGAAAUCUGAAAUCUGCAGAGAAAGCCAGCAGGCUGGAAAUUCAGGAAGUGGCGAGGAAAGAAGAAUGAAGACAAAGAAUAUGGAGUUUCCAUUGAUUUAGCCAAGUCCAUAACAGAAGAAAAGUGCCUUCCUUCGGAACUUCCAAUACAAUGUGUGAGAAUGGACCUGUUACAACUUGUAUUACUCGCAGGGUUCCCCCACUACCAAGAAUAGGGGUGGCCUUAGAAGGCACUCUGAAGCAAGAAUCAGCAAGUGACUGAAUCUAUGAGACUCGUAUUGAUCAGCCUCAAAAGAAAUGAGUCCUACCUUCUCGGUCUCUUAAGAAAUUCAUUCUCUUGAAAAGCAAUUCAAAAAGAGCUUUCCCUAAUACACAUUAGAUAAACAAUGAGAUAUCCUCCUAGCUUUCUCUUGGGAAACUUUCACUUUAUAUCUUUUCAAUUUAUUCUCAUCUUUUUUUUUGUUCCUUCCUUCCCUACUUUUAGGCUUUGUCGUUCAAAAGCUAGCUCGUAGAAUUUUUUUAAAUCUUUGUAUUCAUAUAUCCCUAACUAGAGCAUGAUCUUUUUCUGGCUGGUGGAUCCUCCCCAGAAUGUUUGCAUGUAUUAGGGCUCCAGUGAAUAGGUGUUGGUCAUGAGGAAGGAUGACCAGCUAAGGGAGCUAAUGGCUUAGACAGACACUGUAGAAUUGCAAGGAAUAGAGAUGUGCUCAAGAUACCUUGGUUGGCGAGGUUUAUUGUUGCAGAAACACACUGGGUGGUAGCCAGUCAACCAAGACGGCGGCCAUCAAUUCCUUACCUUUCUUUGUGUACAUGCUGCACCCCAUGACCAAAGGUAGGGCCUUUUUUCUCCUCCCUUGUAUUUCGACUGGCCUCAUACCUUGCUUUCAACAGUGAAAUGUAACAGUGGUGAAGUUGGACUUGUUCCAAGCCUAGACUUUAAGCCUUCUGUUUCCUACUUCUUAGAAGCCAGUCACCAUGCAAGAAGCCUGCCUACCCAGUAACCAGCUGUGAGAAGUCCAAGCUGGCUACACAAAGGGGGGGACACUGAGGUGCCAGACAGGUGGGUAAGGCCUGCCUGAACCUUCCAGCUCUGCCCAACACUCAGCUGAAUGCAGUGAAUCAGCCAGCCCAGCUGAGAACACAGUGAGCAGAGGUUCUGAUCCUGCCUGGAUUCCAGACCCACAGAAUCCAGAGAAAUCAUGUGACUUUAAGCCACUAACUUUUGCAAUAGAUUAAUGUACAACAAUAGAUAAAACACACAGAAAAGUCAAGAAAAUGUUUUUGAAGAAAAGUGAUCUCCGUAGGUUAACUGCAGUUGGUUAAUACUAAUUUAUUGUAUAUUUCAAAAUAGCUAGAAGAUAAUAAUUAGAAUGUUCCUAGCAUAAAGAAAAGACAAUUUAAGGUGAUGGAUAUGCCAAUUACACUGAUUUGAUCUUUACACAUUAUAUGAAUGUAUUCAAUUAUCACAUGUACC
rnacentral:lncRNA from 10 species